UGAGUAGUUUGUAGAACUAUCGUUAGCAAGAAUACUUUGAAGUAAUUGUUUUCUGUAUGACUUUAUCAGUUUCUCAUAUCAUUGUGGAGGUAUUUUGACCCGUGCUUCUCUACAACAUUAGUUCAGUUCACUGAAGUUUGCAGACUUGUUUGGGAUCAGGAUAAAUGGCCUCACAUUUGACUCUGGAAUACUGACCAAUCACUGCAAAGUGCCCAGGGUCCCUCAGCAUUGCUACCAGGAAGGAGGAUUUCUUCAAAUGCAGGCUGCUCAUCCAAUUACAGCGCGGCCUUCGCAGACAUGCCGAGACCAAUUCCACAGAAGGCUGUCAGCCUGAAUCAGACUGUUGACUGUGAGCCUCAUGGGCCAGACAGAGGUUCACUCACAGCCUCCAGGGAGCCCAGCGUUGUUUUGCUUAUCAAACCAUGAGC